rnacentral:lncRNA from 1 species
GUCUUGGCGUUCUUCCUUUCUCUCUGCCGCAUCUCCACCCCGCUGCUCUUUCAGGUUUGAGGCACUGCUGGACAGUGCUCUGCGUCGCCGGCUCGCGACAGAAAUCAAGAGUGAUCUUUGGCUGAUUCUUAAAUUCCUGUCAGAUGAUCUUGAAGUCCAUGUCCCAGCUCAGCCUACUUUUAUGAGCUGAUUUAUUUCUUGGCCUUAUGUUGUCUUUCCUGCCUUUUCACGUGCUAUACUACCUUGCAGGUUUUGAUAAGGCCAAACAGCUUGCAAAAGAUGGUAGAGACGGUCCUCACCAGGUUUCCACUCCCAGGAACGAACUCACCUCUCUUCCUGCCUGGCUUUUACUGAAGAGCUUAUCUAGUGGCCCACAGCUGGGGUGCAGGUUUAUUAGCGCUGUGGCGUGGAUCCCUGUGCUCCUGUCUUUGUUGUCAGUGAGACUCUUGUCACUGACCCCCUCCAAGUAUUUCUCCUGUACCUGUGACAAGUGCAGAAGUCGGCCUCUAGGUUUGUGUUUUGCUUUUGCUUCCUUUGCUCCGCUGACGCGGGUGUUCACAGUGGGCCAAGAGCGACGUUAUUUCCUGCAUUACAGGCAUCUUCCCUCCCCUGCUGAUGAAAGAUCUCACUCCUUUGUCAGGGAGAGGAAGACAUCACGCCUGCAUCAAAAGACUCCGGAAGGGACACUUCUCGAAACACUGACCCACCGUCGUGGACCCUGCCAGCAGGGUCUGGAGGGAAAGCAGCGAGGGUUGCAGGCACUCCUGUCUGCCUCUGAGGCGGUCCACACACUCACCAGCUCCUCAGUGCCUUCUUCAUUUAUUAUCUCUAUCUCCUGUUCCACAUCAGCAGCCCAAGGAUGCUAAGAUUGCAAGAUAAGAUAUUCCAUUUAGAGCUGGGGUCUGGACUGGGAUCUGAGAAUAGGCUAUGUAUGCUAGACGCAGUACUACAGAGUUCCGUC